UACGUAGGGUGCGAGCGUUAAUCGGAAUUACUGGGCGUAAAGCGUGCGCAGGCGGUUCGUUGUGUCGGUGGUGAAAGCCCCGGGCUUAACCUGGGAAUGGCCAUGGAAACUGGCGAACUGGAGUGUGGCAGAGGGGGGUGGAAUUCCGCGUGUAGCAGUGAAAUGCGUAGAUAUCGAGAGGAACACCUGCGGCGAAGGCGGGUUGCUGGGCUGACACUGACGCUGAGGCGCGAAAGCUAGGGGAGCGAACGGG
rnacentral:rRNA from 1 species